AAACCGUAGCUAAUACCGGAUAAUAUUUUGAACCGCAUGGUUCAAAAGUGAAAGACGGUCUUGCUGUCACUUAUAGAUGGAUCCGCGCUGCAUUAGCUAGUUGGUAAGGUAACGGCUUACCAAGGCAACGAUGCAUAGCCGACCUGAGAGGGUGAUCGGCCACACUGGAACUGAGACACGGUCCAG
rnacentral:rRNA from 1 species